rnacentral:lncRNA from 1 species
GAGAUGAGAAGAAAGAGUAGGCUCUGUUGUCCCUCAGACGGCGCUGCUGCAGUGCGUCUUCGCACUUACGCGGAGCGGUAAUGUGAGGAAGCCUCCCGCCAAACAGAUGAGGGAGGAGGAGGAGGGGAGAGGCCAGAGAGAGAAGCGGCUUUCGGGAAGGAAAGUGUGAUCUAGUAGGUGGAAUAGUCCUCUCCAAACUUUGACCUGAGGUGUGACUAUUGAAUGACCCUCUAUUUGGAUUUGGAUUACACAAAGUUUAACGUUUUUUGGAAAAAUCCUACCUAGGUAAUGUGUAGUUCUCAAUGCAUCAUGUCAGGCAGCUUAUGAUGCCAAUUUGUCCCAUGGCCUUAAAUUCCACAACCUCAUCAUCUACCACCUUUGGUGCUUUCAGAAUCAUGACUCUCAAUGUUGAAGAAUGGGCUACUGCAUGGAAGGUGCUGAUCCUUUUAGAGGCAGCCGUGGAAGAGGAAAAGAGAUCAGAAGAGAAAAGGAUAUUGGUUUGCGGAACAUGUGGGACAAGAAGUUCCCAGAAGAAUUUGUGAGCAACUUCCCGACAGUAAGGCCCUGGCUAGACCUCAGGAUGGUCCCUGCCUCCUGGACAUUAGGAAGCCCAAAGGCCAGAACAAAAACACAUGCCUAGUGGGGGAAGGCUCACUAAGAGGGCACCAAGUGGGGCAAAUACCCCUGGUAACCCAUUUAUGGAGGCUGCCACAGAAAUGCUAGUUGGAAAUUUUCCUCCUUCAGUCUAUCAUGAAUUUCUUUUUUCUCUUUUGAGAUGAAGUCGCCCGGGCUGCAGUUCAGUGGUGCAAUCUCAGCUCACUGCAAGCUCUGCCUCCCAGGUUCCAACGAUUGUCUUGUCUCAGCCUCCUGAGUAGCUGAGAUUAUAAGCACGCACCAUCAUACCCGACUAAUUUUUGUAUUUAUAGUAGAAAUGGGGUUUUGCCAUGUUGGCCAGGCUGGUCUUGAACUCCUGACCUUAGGGUGAUCCACCCAUCUUGGCCUCCAAAAGUGCUGGGAUUACAGGCAUGAGCCACUGCACUCGGCUGUACCGUGAUUAUUAGUUCAAGGUUCUCUUUCACUGGGGUAAAGACCUUAAGAGAGCAGUUUUUGGGCUUUAUAUUCUCAAUUUCCCGCACAGUGCCUAGCACAUAGCAAGGACUCAACAAAUUUCAUUGAAUGAAUGAAAAAACAUAGUUUACCAAAUGUCAGUGUACUCAAACUCUUUUAACUGCUAGCUAUAGAAAUCCAAUUAAGACUCACUUGGGUAAAAAAAAAUAAAAAAAUAAACAAAAUAAACUGCUCACUUAUUUGAAAAAUUAAGGAAGGAUUUCAGGCAUGGCUUGAUCCAGCUACUCAAAAAAGGUUGUCAGAAAUGUCUGUCCGUUCUUCAUUUAUUCUUUCUCAUUUGUGGGCUUUGUUCCCAGAUAAGAUCACUCCUUCUGGGGACAAGAUGGUCACUAGUAGAUCCAGGUUUACUUUCUAUCAGCUGAGCAACCUCUCAAGAAAAAAUAAAUAAAUAAAUAAACCUCUCUUUAAAUAGCACCAGGCUGCUGGGUGUGGUGGCUCAUACCUGUAACCCCAGCACUUUGGGAGGCUGAGGUAGGAGGAUUGUGGGAAGCCAGGAGUUCAAGACCAGCCCAGCCAACAUUGUGAGACAUAAUCUCUACAAAUAAAAUAAAUUAGUUGGACAUGAUGGUGUGCACCUAUAGUCCCAGCUACUCGGGAGGCUGAAGCAGAAGGAUCACUUGAGUCUGAGAAUUCGGUGUUGUUUAAGCCACCCUGUUGUGGUAUCUGCUAUGGCUGCACAGGCAGAAAUAGGGACACAAGUGCAGGUUCAGGGCAAGGUGUGUGAGCACACUCAGUCCCUGGCCUCGGAGUCUCUCUGGAUGGCUUCUUGCCUAGGGUGACUGACAGAGGGAGGGAUGAUAUGCAAAGGCACCUGUUCUCCUCAUGACCUAACCCCAAUUCUUACUCCACGGGUUCAUGACAGCCUAUUCUGCUGGAGACUGUGUCUUAAAACUUCCUCCCCUAGUUUCUCUCAAGUACCCCUCGUGAGCUGUGAUUUCACUGGGCUUUGAACUCUUAGGCCAUUUGAGGCUGCAGUGAGCUAUGAUUGUAUCACUGCACUCCAGCCUAGAUGACAGAACGAGACCCCAUCUCUAAUGAAUAAAUAAAUAUGGCUGGGCACAAUGGCUCAGGCCUGUAAUCCCAGCAUUUGGAAGACCAAGACAGGCAGAUCGCUUCAGCUCAGGAGUUCGAGAUCAUUCUGGCCAACAAGGCGAAACCCUGUCUCUACCAAAAAUACAAAAAUUAGCCAGGCAGGGUGGCAUGUGCCUUUAAUCCCAGCUACAGGGAGGCUGAGGCAGGAGAAUCACUUGAACCUGGGAGGCAGAGGUUUCAGUGAGCUGAAAUUGUGCCACUGCACUCCAGCCUGAGUGACAGAGUGAGACUUUGCAACCAAAAAA